GGGAGACCAUUUUGAAAAGUUCCUUUCCCACCAGAGGCCAAGGAAAGAGAAAACCUGCCCAUUACUUGGCCUUAGGGAGUGGAAGAAGUACAGCCUUCAGCUGGGAGGGAGAGCUGGAGGGCUCACUAUGUGCAGAGCCUCUGAGCCACCUUCACCUCACUAGUGGGGAAACUGAGGCUCAGAGAAGGGAGGGAGCCAAGCAGAUACAGCCAGGGAGAGUAUGGGCCUUCAACAGGAGCCCGCUUCCGGCUUGGCGCUCACCUGCAGUGAGCGCUCCCUGACAGCUUGGGUUUCGUGGCUGAGUCCUAGAAAGAGGGAUGCAGGAGAACCAGGGCCUCAGUCCAAAUGGGGACACUGGGCACGUGGAGCGCAGGAUAUUGUACCAAGCUAGCCAGGAGCCCCAAAGCAGCCCGGGAUCUUUCCAGGACCUGCUGGUCCCAGUAGGUGUGUGCAGUUCAUAGAUUGCCUACCCUGGGCUGUGGGCUUGGUGACAUCCUAAAGGAACUAAGACUCGUUUGUGAACAGCCAGGAGUGGACGCUGAGCCGCUCCGUACCGGAGCUUAAAGUGGGCAUAGUGGGGAACCUGUCUAGCGGGAAGUCAGCCCUGGUGCACCGCUAUCUGACGGGGACCUAUGUCCAGGAGGAGUCCCCUGAAGGGGGACGGUUUAAGAAGGAGAUUGUGGUGGAUGGCCAGAGUUAUCUGCUGCUGAUCCGAGAUGAAGGAGGCCCCCCUGAGCUCCAGUUUGCUGCCUGGGUGGAUGCAGUGGUGUUUGUAUUCAGCCUGGAGGAUGAAAUCAGUUUCCAGACGGUGUACAACUACUUCCUGCGUCUCUGCAGCUUCCGCAACGCCAGCGAGGUGCCCAUGGUGCUUGUGGGCACGCAGGAUGCCAUCAGCGCUGCGAAUCCCCGGGUUAUCGACGACAGCAGAGCCCGCAAGCUCUCCACAGAUCUGAAGCGGUGCACCUACUAUGAGACGUGCGCGACCUACGGGCUCAAUGUGGAGCGUGUCUUCCAGGACG
rnacentral:sRNA from 1 species